CCAUAGCUCUCGGGUAGACGAGCGGCGGACGGGUGAGUAAUGUCUGGGAAACUGCCUGAUGGAGGGGGAUAACUACUGGAAACGGUAGCUAAUACCGCAUAACGUCGCAAGACCAAAGUGGGGGACCUUCGGGCCUCAUGCCAUCAGAUGUGCCCAGAUGGGAUUAGCUAGUAGGUGGGGUAAUGGCUCACCUAGGCGACGAUCCCUAGCUGGUCUGAGAGGAUGACCAGCCACACUGGAACUGAGACACGGUCCAGACUCCUACGGGAGGCAGCAGUGGGGAAUAUUGCACAAUGGGCGCAAGCCUGAUGCAGCCAUGCCGCGUGUAUGAAGAAGGCCUUCGGGUUGUAAAGUACUUUCAGCGAGGAGGAAGGCGUUAAGGUUAAUAACCUUGGCGAUUGACGUUACUCGCAGAAGAAGCACCGGCUAACUCCGUGCCAGCAGCCGCGGUAAUACGGAGGGUGCAAGCGUUAAUCGGAAUUACUGGGCGUAAAGCGCACGCAGGCGGUCUGUCAAGUCGGAUGUGAAAUCCCCGGGCUCAACCUGGGAACUGCAUUCGAAACUGGCAGGCUAGAGUCUUGUAGAGGGGGGUAGAAUUCCAGGUGUAGCGGUGAAAUGCGUAGAGAUCUGGAGGAAUACCGGUGGCGAAGGCGGCCCCCUGGACAAAGACUGACGCUCAGGUGCGAAAGCGUGGGGAGCAACAGGAUUAGAUACCCUGGUAGUCCACGCCGUAACGAUGUCGACUUGGAGGUUGUGCCCUUGAGGCGUGCUUCCGGAGCUAACGCGUUAAGUCGACCGCCUGGGGAGUACGGCCGCAAGGUUAAAACUCAAAUGAAUUGACGGGGGCCCGCACAAGCGGUGGAGCAUGUGGUUUAAUUCGAUGCAACGCGAAGAACCUUACCUACUCUUGACAUCCAGAGAACUUAGCAGAGAUGCUUUGGUGCCUUCGGGAACUCUGAGACAGGUGCUGCAUGGCUGUCGUCAGCUCGUGUUGUGAAAUGUUGGGUUAAGUCCCGCAACGAGCGCAACCCUUAUCCUUUGUUGCCAGCGGUCCGGCCGGGAACUCAAAGGAGACUGCCAGUGAUAAACUGGAGGAAGGUGGGGAUGACGUCAAGUCAUCAUGGCCCUUACGAGUAGGGCUACACACGUGCUACAAUGGCAUAUACAAAGAGAAGCGACCUCGCGAGAGCAAGCGGACCUCAUAAAGUAUGUCGUAGUCCGGAUUGGAGUCUGCAACUCGACUCCAUGAAGUCGGAAUCGCUAGUAAUCGUAGAUCAGAAUGCUACGGUGAAUACGUUCCCGGGCCUUGUACACACCGCCCGUCACACCAUGGGAGUGGGUUGCAAAAGAAGUAGGUAGCUUAACCUUCGGGAGGGUCCGG
rnacentral:rRNA from 1 species